AUGAGAGAUAAAGGGAGGGGGCUGGAGGAGGGGAAAGGAAAGAUGAUCGCGCCACGAUGCUCCUGUAGUGCAAGUGGUCGUCAUGGCACACUAUGGCCAGUGUUCAGACUAUACUCUCAACUCUUGUGGGAAUUGCUCAGAGUAAUUCAAGAUCCUAAAAGAAGUCUUCAGAAUAACCCAAACUCCUACAUAACAAUACAUAAAUUAUUUGCGUCAGUAUAUGACCCUUCCAGUUUGAGAAGAGUUCAAAACUAUUAUACAAAUUCUUGCAAGUCUUCCUACUCUACAAUACUAAUCUAA
rnacentral:rRNA from 1 species